UACGAAGGGUGCAAACGUUGCCCGGAAUCACUGGGCGUAAAGCGCACGUAGGCGGCUUUUUAAGUCAGGGGUGAAAUCCUGGAGCUCAAUUCCAGAACUGCCUUUGAUACUGAGAAGCUUGAGUCCGGGAGAGGUGAGUGGAACUGCGAGUGUAGAGGUGAAAUUCGUAGAUAUCGUAAGGAAGACCAGUGGCGAAGGCGGGUCUCUGGACAGUUCCUGACGCUGAGACACGAAGGCCAGGGGAGCAAACGGG
rnacentral:rRNA from 1 species